AUACGGAGGGUGCGAGCGUUAAUCGGAAUUACUGGGCGUAAAGCGUACGUAGGCGGUUUGCUAAGUCAGAUGUGAAAGCCCCGGGCUUAACCUGGGAACUGCAUUUGAUACUGGCAGACUAGAGUAUGAUAGAGGGGGGUAGAAUUCCUGGUGUAGCGGUGAAAUGCGUACAUAUCAGGAGGAAUACCAGUGGCGAAGGCGGCCCCCUGGAUCAAUACUGACGCUGAGGUACGAAAGCGUGGGGAGCGAACAGGAUUAGAAACCCUAGUAGUCC
rnacentral:rRNA from 1 species